CAAGCAGUGGAGCGUUUUGGGGUGGGGUGACUGCGUACCUUUUGUAUAAUGGGUCAGCGACUUAUAUUCUGUAGCAAGGUUAACCGGAUAGGGGAGCCGCAGGGAAACCGAGUCUUAACUGGGCGAAAUGAGUUGCAGGGUAUAGACCCGAAACCCGGUGAGCUAGCCAUGGGCAGGUUGAAGGUUGGGUAACACUAACUGGAGGACCGAACCGACUAAUGUUGAAAAAUUAGCGGAUGACUUGUGGCUGGGGGUGAAAGGCCAAUCAAACCGGGAGAUAGCUGGUUCUCCCCGAAAGCUAUUUAGGUAGCGCCUCGUGAGUUCAUCUUCGGGGGUAGAGCACUGUUUCGGCUAGGGGGCCAUCCCGGCUUACCAACCCGAUGCAAACUGCGAAUACCGAAGAAUGGUAUCACGGGAGACACACGGCGGGUGCUAACGUCCGUCGUGAAGAGGGAAACAACCCAGACCGCCAGCUAAGGUCCCAAAGUCAUGGUUAAGUGGGAAACGAUGUGGGAAGGCCCAGACAGCCAGGAUGUUGGCUUAGAAGCAGCCAUCAUUGAAAGAAAGCGUAAUAGCUCACUGGUCGAGUCGGCCUGCGCGGAAGAUGUAACGGGGCUAAACCAUGCACCGAAGCUGCGGCAGCGACACGUAAGUGUCGCUGGGUAGGGGAGCGUUCUGUAAGCCGUGGAAGGUGGCGCCGUGAGGCCUGCUGGAGGUAUCAGAAGUGCGAAUGCUGACAUAAGUAACGAUAAAGCGGGUGAAAAACCCGCUCGCCGGAAGACCAAGGGUUCCUGUCCAACGUUAAUCGGGGCAGGGUGAGUCGACCCCUAAGGUGAGGCUGAAAAGCGUAGCUGAUGGGAAACAGGUUAAUAUUCCUGUACUGAAUGUGACUGCGAAGGGGGGACGGAGAAGGCUAGGCCAUCCGGGCGACGGUUGUCCCGGUUUAAGCGGGUAGGUGGGAGGAGCAGGCAAAUCCGCUCUUCUGUGAACACUGAGGCGUGAUGACGAGCCGCUACGGCGGUGAAGUGGUUGAUGCCCGGCUUCCAGGAAAAGCCUCUAAGCAUCAGGUCAUAUUGAAUCGUACCCCAAACCGACACAGGUGGUCAGGUAGAGAAUACUCAGGCGCUUGAGAGAACUCGGGUGAAGGAACUAGGCAAAAUGGUGCCGUAACUUCGGGAGAAGGCACGCUGGCAUUAGGUGAAGGAGUUGACCUCUGGAGCUGAAGCCAGUCGCAGAGACCAGCUGGCUGCAACUGUUUAUUAAAAACACAGCACUGUGCAAACACGAAAGUGGACGUAUACGGUGUGACGCCUGCCCGGUGCUGGAAGGUUAAUUGAUGGGGUUAGCCGCAAGGCGACGCUCUUGAUCGAAGCCCCAGUAAACGGCGGCCGUAACUAUAACGGUCCUAAGGUAGCGAAAUUCCUUGUCGGGUAAGUUCCGACCUGCACGAAUGGCGUAAUGAUGGCCAGGCUGUCUCCACCCGAGACUCAGUGAAAUUGAACUCGCUGUGAAGAUGCAGUGUUCCCGCGGCAAGACGGAAAGACCCCGUGAACCUUUACUAUAGCUUGACACUGAACAUGGAGCCUUGAUGUGUAGGAUAGGUGGGAGGCUAGGAAGUGUGGACGCCAGUCUGCAUGGAGCCGACCUUGAAAUACCACCCUUGAAUGUUCGAUGUUCUCACUUGGGCCCGUGAACCGGGCUGAGGACAGUGUCUGGUGGGUAGUUUGACUGGGGCGGUCUCCUCCCAAAGAGUAACGGAGGAGCACGAAGGUUGGCUAAUCACGGUCGGACAUCGUGAGGUUAGUGCAAAGGCAUAAGCUGGCUUGACUGCGAGAGUGACGGCUCGAGCAGGUACGAAAGUAGGUCUUAGUGAUCCGGUGGUUCUGAAUGGAAGGGCCAUCGCUCAACGGAUAAAAGGUACUCCGGGGAUAACAGGCUGAUACCGCCCAAGAGUUCAUAUCGACGGCGGUGUUUGGCACCUCGAUGUCGGCUCAUCACAUCCUGGGGCUGAAGUGGGUCCCAAGGGUAUGGCUGUUCGCCAUUUAAAGUGGUACGCGAGCUGGGUUUAGAACGUCGUGAGACAGUUCGGUCCCUAUCUGCCGUGGGCGUAGGAAGAUUGAAAGGGGCUGCUCCUAGUACGAGAGGACCGGAGUGGACGCACCGCUGGUGUACGGGUUGUCAUGCCAAUGGCAUAGCCCGGUAGCUAAGUGCGGGAGAGAUAACCGCUGAAAGCAUCUAAGCGGGAAACUUGCCUUGAGAUGAGUCUUCCCUUGACUUGAGUCACGGAAGGAACGUUUAAGACGAAGACGUGGAUAGGCUGGGUGUGUAAGUGCAGCGAUGCAUUGAGCUGACCAGUACUAAUGAACCGAGCGGCUUAACCUU
rnacentral:rRNA from 1 species